GGUGCCACCAUCAGGUGGCCGCAGAGAAUAGGCCCAAGCGACUGUUUACCAAAAACAUAGGUUUCUGCUAAGUCGCAAGACGAUGUAUAGGAGCGGACGCCUGCCCGGUGCUGGAAGGUUAAGGGGAGCUGUUAGAGCAAUCGAAGCAGUGAACUUAAGCCCCAGUAAACGGCGGCCGUAACUAUAACGGUCCUAAGGUAGCGAAAUUCCUUGUCGGGUAAG
rnacentral:rRNA from 1 species